rnacentral:tRNA from 1 species
CUCCAGUUAGCCUAGUGGUUAUGGCUAUGGAUCGCCAAUCCGGAGACGACGGGUUCGAUUCCCGUUCUGGGCG